rnacentral:rRNA from 1 species
GAUGAACGCUGGCGGCGUGCCUAAUACAUGCAAGUAGAACGCUGAAGCUUGGUGCUUGCACCGAGCGGAUGAGUUGCGAACGGGUGAGUAACGCGUAGGUAACCUGCCUCUUAGCGGGGGAUAACUAUUGGAAACGAUAGCUAAUACCGCAUAAAAGUCGAUAUCGCAUGAUAUUGAUUUGAAAGGUGCAAUUGCAUCACUAAGAGAUGGACCUGCGUUGUAUUAGCUAGUUGGUGAGGUAACGGCUCACCAAGGCGACGAUACAUAGCCGACCUGAGAGGGUGAUCGGCCACACUGGGACUGAGACACGGCCCAGACUCCUACGGGAGGCAGCAGUAGGGAAUCUUCGGCAAUGGGGGCAACCCUGACCGAGCAACGCCGCGUGAGUGAAGAAGGUUUUCGGAUCGUAAAGCUCUGUUGUAAGAGAAGAACGAGUGUGAGAGUGGAAAGUUCACACUGUGACGGAACUACCAGAAA